rnacentral:rRNA from 1 species
GUGGGGGAUAUUGCACAAUGGGCGCAAGCCUGAUGCAGCAACGCCGCGUGAAGGAAGAAGGUCUUCGGAUUGUAAACUUCUGUUUUCGGUGAAGAAACAAAUGACGGUAGCCGAAGAGGAAGCCACGGCUAACUACGUGCCAGCAGCCGCGGUAAUACGUAGGUGGCAAGCGUUGUCCGGAAUUACUGGGUGUAAAGGGUGCGUAGGCGGGUUUGCAAGUUGGAUGUGAAAUACCGGAGCUUAACUCCGGAGCUGCAUCCAAAACUGCAGAUCUUGAGUGAAGUAGAGGCAGGCGGAAUUCCGAGUGUAGCGGUGAAAUGCGUAGAUAUUCGGAGGAACACCAGUGGCGAAGGCGGCCUGCUGGGCUUUAACUGACGCUGAGGCACGAAAGCAUGGGUAGCAAACAGG